CCAGCUUGCUUGGAGCUGCCCUUCAAGAAGAUGAAUGUGACAGAACCAGGACAAGUGCUAUGACGUGGUGACAAGAGGGGACACCUGUGCAACUGAGAGACCUCCUGUGGCAGACGCUCUGAGAGCACAGUCACAGCUGCUCCCACCUCACAGAACUCGGUUAUUUGGGGAAGUUUCAGUGUGAGCAAAUGAAUGACUCAGCAUUAUUCCAGUGAACAGCAGAACAGCUCCAUCUCUAAUAGAAACAACUCAAAUCAAUUAACAAAUGCAACCCUGAGUAGCUCACUUGCAGUGGAAGCUGGAGAACAGAACUGCCAGAACUGGCAAUAGUGAAGGCAGCAGGACCUGCAAAAGCAGCUCAGCUCAGAGAACGAAACCACCCAGCACUAAAUGUGUGUCCAUGUGCCCAGGACCUGCACUCUCUCCUUGGAUGCAUUUUGCCACCAAAUGCAGCUUUUUUGAGUUGCCAGACCAGAUUUUCCUACCAAUUUUUCCCACUGAGAGAUGGUGGUGGCAUCUACCACCCAGAUGAUAGCUUUCCCUUGGGUCUGUGUGAGGAGACUUGUUCUGGCAGCUUGGUGACCAGGAUUGGGCUGUGAGCAGAGGUGCCAGUGUGGAGCUUUGCUCACAGUCCUGUGCAGUGAGCUCUGGAAUGAGCAGGGAGGUUGGACCAGAUGAUCCAUCCAGCCUGACCCAUCCUGGGAUUCUUUGAGAGUGAAGAAGGUGCUUGAAGCUCAGCCCUUUGGUCAUGGAGGAGCUGUCUAAGCUGGCCAAUGGAAAUGCAGGAGAACUUCCAGUGCUGGAAAACAGUGCAGGAUUUGAUCUUUUUAGCCCAUCUGGAAUGGAUUGCCAGAACUGGGGUUACUGUGGGGAAGAUGUUGCAUCCAGCUGCAGCCUGGGUAUGCCAUCCCCCUGGACGGAAGCUUUCAACUACUUUCCUUGGAAGCAUCCUUUAUCCUCAGGCAGCUGUUGUGCUCCAGGCCCUGCUGUGGUGUCACAGGCUGCCCAUGGAUGACAGUUUGUAGUUCUUCCUCAAAGAGAACCUUUACCCAGCCCUUAUUCCCACAGAAUGGGAAAAGGCCCAGAUGAAGCUUUGGUUGUCUUCAUAUGUUUUGGUUGUGGAGUUCCAUCUUCUGAAGGGUCUUUUUGAAGUUGCCCUAUCAAUUUUGCCUUGCUCCUGUCUCUUCAGGAGCACCCUGGGGAGUGGAGUCUUGUCCUCCCUGUCCAGUUGCACUCUAAGCAGCUUCCGUAAGCUCAGCCACCUGUGACAUCUCUAUACACCAAAGGUGUUUCUCAGAGGAGCUGGGAAGCGCUGCAGGAGUCUGGAACUGCAGGUCCUGUGGGUGCCAAGGAUGCAGAUUUUUUCGACGGCUUCAAAACGCUCCCCAACUAAUCCCCUGUGGCCCAAAAGUGCCAGCCAUGAGCAGAAGCCUCCGUUCAGAGGAGUGUACUGAUUUAAUGAUGUCCUUCUGCUGAGAUGAGCUAUGGGUCCUGAGCAAGACCUGGAAGAUGCUGUUGCACUGAAUAAAAAUUCCUGGGGUGCAAGAUCAGUGUUUUUGCAGAGAUGAAUGGAGAUCUCACUGCUUAACUCAUCACAGGGAAGGUGCCAAGAUCACAGGGAGAACAUUUCUGAUUUGGGCAGCUCUUUAAUGCCACAGCCAGAGAAAGAACAUUGGGACUGGAAUUAGGGAAGACACUUGUAGCAGGCAGUGGAGAUAACUGCUGGAAGCCAGGAAGGCUUUUCAGCACUCAAGCAGCAAUCAGGUGUUUUUUCUACAAGGACCACUGUAACUGAGCCAGGAGUUAUGGAGUGUGAGGCAGGAG